GCUUAGUCGUAAACUUAAAUAAUCCCAAAACAAGAUUAUUCGCCAGAGUACUAUCGGCAACAGCCCAAAACUCAAAGGACUUGGCGGUGCUUCAUAUCCUUCUAGAGGAGCCUGUUCUGUAAACGAUAAACCACGAUUAACCUCACCAAUCCUUGCUACUUCAGUCUAUAUACCGCCAUCUUCAGCAAACCCUAAAAAAGGAACGAAAGUAAGCACAACUACUGCACGUAAAAACGUUAGGUCAAGGUGUAACCUAUGGAUUGGGAAGAAAUGGGCUACAUUUUCUAUAAUAAGAAUACCCCUUAAACUUACACGAAAGUUUUUAUGAAACCUAAAAACUAAAGGAGGAUUUAGCAGUAAAUUAAAAAUAGAAUGCUUAAUUGAAUAAGGCCAUGAAGCACGC
rnacentral:rRNA from 1 species